UGUGGAUAGCGGAGAAAUUCCAAUCGAACUCGGAGAUAGCUGGUUCUCCCCGAAAUAGCUUUAGGGCUAGCGUCGGAUAUGUGUAGUGGAGGUAGAGCACUGAAUGGGCUAGGGGGCAUAUCGCUUACCGAACCUUAUCAAACUCCGAAUGCCAUAUACAUUAAGUCCGGCAGUCAGACUACGAAUGAUAAGAUCCGUGGUCAAAAGGGAAACAGCCCAGACCGUCAGCUAAGGUCCCAAAGUGUAAGUUAAGUGGAAAAGGAUGUGGGAUUUCUAAGACAACUAGGAUGUUGGCUUAGAAGCAGCCACUCAUUUAAAGAGUGCGUAAUAGCUCACUAGUCGAGAGAUCCUGCGCCGAAAAUGUACCGGGGCUAAACUUACCACCGAAGCUACGGAUUUGCAAGUAAUUGCAAGUGGUAGGGGAGCGUCGUAAUCGGGCUGAAGUCGUACCGGAAGGAGCGGUGGACUGAUUACGAGUGAGAAUGUUGGCAUUAGUAGCGAGAUGUAGGUGAGAAUCCUACAGGCCGAAUAUCUAAGGUUUCCUCAGGAAGGCUCGUCCGCUGAGGGUUAGUCGGGACCUAAGCCGAGGCCGAAAGGCGUAGGCGAUGGACAAUCGGUUGAUAUUCCGAUACCACUACCAUCGUUAUUAUCGAGGGUGUGACGGAGAAGGAUAGUGUGUGCUAGCGAUUGGAAAUGCUAGUCUAAGCGUUUAGGGAGUUACGGUAGGCAAAUCCGCUGUAACAAUUCUGAGGCGUGAUGGGGAAGGUCAUUAAGACCGAAGUACAUGAUUCCAUGCUUCCAAGAAAAGCAUCUAGAGAGAGAAGUAGUGCCCGUACCGCAAACCGACACAGGUAGAUGAGGAGAGAAUCCUAAGGCCGGCGGAAGAAUUGCAGUUAAGGAACUAGGCAAAUUGACCCCGUAAGUUCGCGAGAAGGGGUGCCUGCGAGAGCAGGCCGCAGAGAAUAGGCCCAAGCAACUGUUUAGCAAAAACACAGGUCUCUGCUAAAGCGUAAGCUGAUGUAUAGGGGCUGACGCCUGCCCGGUGCUGGAAGGUUAAGGGGAACACUUAGCGCAAGCGAAGGUGUGAACUUAAGCCCCAGUAAACGGCGGCCGUAACUAUAACGGUCCUAAGGUAGCGAAAUUCCUUGUCAGGUAAGUUCUGACCCGCACGAAUGGCGUAAUGACUUGGGCACUGUCUCAACUGCAAAUCCGGCGAAGUUGUAGUGCGAGUGAAGAUGCUCGCUACCCGCGAUUGGACGGAAAGACCCCGUAGAGCUUUACUGUAGCUUAGCAUUGAAUUCCGGUAUUGUCUGUACAGGAUAGGUGGGAGACUGGGAAACUAGGGCGUCAGCCUUAGUGGAGUCAACCUUGGGAUACCACCCUGACAGUACUGGGGUUCUAACAGGACGCCAUGAAUCUGGUGACUGGACAUUGUUAGGUGGGCAGUUUGACUGGGGCGGUCGCCUCCUAAAAAGUAACGGAGGCGCCCAAAGGUUCCCUCAGAACGGUCGGAAAUCGUUCGUAGAGUGCAAAGGCAGAAGGGAGCCUGACUGCGAGACCUACAAGUCGAGCAGGGACGAAAGUCGGGCUUAGUGAUCCGGUGGUACCUCGUGGGAGGGCCAUCGCUCAACGGAUAAAAGCUACCUCGGGGAUAACAGGCUGAUCUCCCCCAAGAGUCCACAU
rnacentral:rRNA from 1 species